UGGCUCAGAACGAACGCUGGCGGCAGGCCUAACACAUGCAAGUCGAACGCUCCGCAAGGGGAGUGGCGCACGGGUGAGUAACACGUGGGAACCUACCUUCUGGUACGGAACAACCAAGGGAAACUUUGGCUAAUACCGUAUACGACCUCCGGGUGAAAGAUUUAUCGCCGGAAGAGGGGCCCGCGUCCGAUUAGGUAGUUGGUGAGGUAACGGCUCACCAAGCCGACGAUCGGUAGCUGGUCUGAGAGGAUGRCCAGCCACACUGGGACUGAGACACGGCCCAGACUCCUACGGGAGGCAGCAGUGGGGAAUAUUGGACAAUGGGCGCAAGCCUGAUCCAGCCAUGCCGCGUGAGUGAUGAAGGCCUUCGGGUUGUAAAGCUCUUUCACCCACGACGAUGAU
rnacentral:rRNA from 1 species